GAAUCAAGAUGGCCGCCUGGGACCGCUCUCAGCCCCUUCGGCCUCUACCUGAAGAGCCACGCCCCGUCUGCUACACCCAACUGAUUGGUUCCUCAAUCACAGAGAGGAAAGGCAACAUGAGGAUGACGUCAGUUACAAAUAUGGCGUUUUGGACGGGCUCGAUAGUUUGCUUGGCCUCUACUCAAGGAAUGCUGAUGGUAUAGCAAGAAGGUAUUCUGAGCAUUAUAUCAAUGGGGAAGUUCUAGAUCUUUUGCAAAGCAGGAGCAAGCUGCCCUGUUGUGAGCUCUCCGGUGGAGAGCCCCACAUGGCAAGAAAAUGAGAAGCCCCCUGAACAGACAAGAGCUGAGGCCCAGGAUACAAUAUCCUGAAAAAAACUGAAUCCUGCUGACAGUUGCCCAAGUGAAGCUGGAAGUGGAUCUUUCUGCAGUGGAUCCUUGAGAUGACUGUAGCCCUGGCUGACAACUUGAUUGCUGCCUGUGAAGGACCCUGAACCAGAGGACUCAGCGAAAUUGUGCCCAGAUUCCUGACCUACAGAGGCAGUGAGAUAAUAAAUGCUGUUGAGGUCACAAAGUUUUGAGAGCUCAGAGGAAAGGCCGUGUGGACACAGCAUAAAGGCCACCAUCUGCAAGCCAGGAAUUGAGCCCUCACCAGGAAUUAGUCAGCUGAUGCCUUGAUGUUGGAAUUCCCAGGCUCCAAAACUGUGAGAAGAUUAAUUUCUGUUGUUUAAGCCACUCAAUUUAUAGUAUUUUAUUAUGGCAGUUCAAGCAGCCUAAGACACCCAUUUAUCCUUUUCCAGAUACAGCCUCCAUCUCCUCCCAAAUUUCAAAGUAAUAAUUUCCUUGCUUUUCUUUAGCGUUUAACCUUCUGUGUUUAGUU
rnacentral:lncRNA from 1 species